rnacentral:lncRNA from 1 species
CAAACGCCCGUCUUCCACCCUGGCUAUCAAAAUUCUGCUCCGCCUCCUUUUCCGAAUCUGUGACAGAUUAAAAAAAUAUAUCCAAUAAUCCGUUCCGCCACCUAGCCCGCCGCAUAACCCACCUCCCGCUGGCGCCCCGAAUCCGCCCCGCCAAUUAUCAAUUUUUUUUUAAAAUUAUAAUAUUAUUAAUAUUUUAUAAAAUACAAAUUAAUAAUUUUUUAAUAAUAAUGAAUAAUAUUGCUAGGUAAUAUAUAAAAUU